rnacentral:rRNA from 1 species
AGUGAACGCUGGCGGUAGGCCUAACACAUGCAAGUCGAACGGCAGCACAGUAAGAGCUUGCUCUUACGGGUGGCGAGUGGCGGACGGGUGAGGAAUACAUCGGAAUCUACUUUUUCGUGGGGGAUAACGUAGGGAAACUUACGCUAAUACCGCAUACGACCUACGGGUGAAAGCAGGGGAUCUUCGGACCUUGCGCGAUUGAAUGAGCCGAUGUCGGAUUAGCUAGUUGGCGGGGUAAGGGCCCACCAGGGCGACGAUCCGUAGCUGGUCUGAGAGGAUGAUCAGCCACACUGGAACUGAGACACGGUCCAGACUCCUACGGGAGGCAGCAGUGGGGAAUAUUGGACAAUGGGCGCAGGCCUGAUCCAGCCAUACCGCGUGGGUGAAGAAGGCCUUCGGGUUGUAAAGCCCUUUUGUUGGGAAAGAAAAGCAGCAGGUUAAUACCCCGCUGUUCUGACGGUACCCAAAGAAUAAGCACCGGCUAACUUCGUG